CCAUGGCUCAAGAUGAAUAAGUCAACUGCUAUUUGAUAAAAGGCUGGGGCAAGUGUUGACUAAAUGCUUUGGUAUAACACAAGUAACUCUUAAAUUUUGUUAUUAUUUAAAGCUUGGAUUGCUCUGUGUGUAGGCUGAAGCUGGAAAAAACCUCUCAGGUGGUUCCUGUAUGACAUGUAACCAACCCAGAUUCCAUUGGCAAUAACAGACCUGCAUGGCAGCUGUCUGAAGAGAUUGUCCAACAAAGUAAUGGGUCAUUGGCAUACUGGCAGAGAGAAUGACAUCAUCUGUUCUGUAGGGAGGUACAUGUUGAGGGAAUCCUCCUCUCGAUGUGCAUCCAUGGAAGCUCAUGGUUACUAGUGUGAUGACAUCUAUACCAACCCUAAUCAGUCACAAAGGGAGGCAAAGAAAUGGUUUCCUGACAGGGCAAGGAAGAGUACCAAUAGCUAGUAAAUCUGCAUCACAGCUUGAAAUGCCUGACCUGAUUCAUGAUGAGCUGAUGCCAAUGAUUGUAUAUCUCCCCAAAUAGUGAGGCUGAAGAUGAAAAGUUGACUUUUGGCCAUGACUUCUUUGGCAGGAGGUAUGUCAUGUGAAUGACAAGGGGUGGGGCUAGCGUAAUAUACAAUUGACAAAUAAAGGAGUAGGCUGUAAA